UAGGUUUGACAUGCCGCGAGUAGGGAACCGAAAGGGGACCGACCGGUUCAGUCCGGAAGCGGUACAGGUGCUGCAUGGCUGUCGUCAGCUCGUGCCGUGAGGUGUUGGGUUCAGUCCCGCAACGAGCGCAACCCUCGCCCUUUGUUGCCAUCGGGUCAAGCCGGGCACUCUAAGGGGACUGCCAGCGAUAAGUUGGAGGAAGGAGAGGAUGACGUCAAGUCAUCAUGGCCCUUAUGUCUAGGGCAACACACGUGCAACAAUGGCCGGUACAGACGGAGGCAAAGCCGAGAGGCGGAGCAAACCCGAGAAAGCCGGUCUCAGUUCGGAUUGAGGUCUGCAACUCGACCUCAUGAAGUCGGAAUCGCUAGUAAUCGCGUAUCAGCACGACGCGGUGAAUACGUUCCCGGGCCUUGUACACACCGCCCGUCACACCACGAAAGUCUGUUGUACCCGAAGUCGGUGCCCCAACCGGAAACGGAGGGAGCCGCCCAAGGUAUGGCCGGUGAUUGGG
rnacentral:rRNA from 1 species